rnacentral:rRNA from 1 species
UACGUAGGGUGCGAGCGUUAAUCGGAAUUACUGGGCGUAAAGCGUGCGCAGGCGGUUUGUUAAGUCUGAUGUGAAAGCCCCGGGCUCAACCUGGGAACUGCAUUGGAAACUGGCAAGCUCGAGUGUGGCAGAGGGAGGUGGAAUUCCACGUGUAGCAGUGAAAUGCGUAGAGAUGUGGAGGAACACCGAUGGCGAAGGCAGCCUCCUGGGCCAGCACUGACGCUCAUGCACGAAAGCGUGGGGAGCAAACAGG